rnacentral:rRNA from 1 species
CAGUAGCCACGGUAAUACGAAGGGUGCAAGCGUUACUCGGAAUUACUGGGCGUAAAGCGUGCGUAGGUGGUGGUUUAAGUCCGUUGUGAAAGCCCUGGGCUCAACCUGGGAAUUGCAGUGGAUACUGGGUCACUAGAGCGUGGUAGAGGAUAGUGGAAUUUCCGGUGUAGCAGUGAAAUGCGUAGAGAUCGGAAGGAACAUCUGUGGCGAAGGCGACUAUCUGGGCCAACACUGACACUGAGGCACGAAAGCGUGGGGAGCAAACAGGAUUAGAUACCCCGGUAGUCCCUGUCUCUUAUAC